AGCCUGAUCCAGCCAUGCCGCGUGUGUGAAGAAGGCCUUUUGGUUGUAAAGCACUUUAAGCGAGGAGGAGGAGCUUCAGGUUAAUACCCUGGAUGCUUGGACGUUACUCGCAGAAUAAGCACCGGCUAACUCUGUGCCAGCAGCCGCGGUAAUACAGAGGGUGCAAGCGUUAAUCGGAUUUACUGGGCGUAAAGCGUGCGUAGGCGGCUAAUUAAGUCAAAUGUGAAAUCCCCGAGCUUAACUUGGGAAUUGCAUUCGAUACUGGUUAGCUAGAGUAUGGGAGAGGAUGGUAGAAUUCCAGGUGUAGCGGUGAAAUGCGUAGAGAUCUGGAGGAAUACCGAUGGCGAAGGCAGCCAUCUGGCCUAAUACUGACGCUGAGGUACGAAAGCAUGGGGAGCAAACAGGAUUAGAUACCCUGGUAGUCCAUGCCGUAAACGAUGUCUACUAGCCGUUGGGGUCUUUGAGACCUUAGUGGCGCAGCUAACGCGAUAAGUAGACCGCCUGGGGAGUA
rnacentral:rRNA from 1 species